GAUGAACGCUGGCGGCGUGCCUAAUACAUGCAAGUCGAGCGAACGUACGAGAAGCUUGCUUCUCUGAUGUUAGCGGCGGACGGGUGAGUAAUACGUGGAUAACCUACCUAUAAGACUGGGAUAACUUCGGGAAACCGGAGCUAAUACCGGAUAAUAUUUUGAACCGCAUGGUUCAAAAGUGAAAGACGGUCUUGCUGUCACUUAUAGAUGGAUCCGCGCUGCAUUAGCUAGUUGGUAAGGUAACGGCUUACCAAGGCAACGAUGCAUAGCCGACCUGAGAGGGUGAUCGGCCACACUGGAACUGAGACACGGUCCAGACUCCUACGGGAGGCAGCAGUAGGGAAUCUUCCGCAAUGGGCGAAAGCCUGACGGAGCAACGCCGCGUGAGUGAUGAAGGUCUUCGGAUCGUAAAACUCUGUUAUUAGGGAAGAACAUAUGUGUAAGUAACUGUGCACAUCUUGACGGUACCUAAUCAGAAAGCCACGGCUAACUACGUG
rnacentral:rRNA from 1 species